AUGUGGAAGAACCAGUUGCCAUAUGAUCACUGAAGUUAAGCAACAUCAGGCCUGGUCAGUACUUAGAUGACUGACCACUUGGUAAUACUAGGUGU